rnacentral:rRNA from 1 species
GGAUAACCUACCCUUAGGACUGGGAUAACCCUGGGAAACUGGGGCUAAUACCGGAUAGGCAAUUUUUCCUGGAAUGGUUUUUUGUUUAAAUGUUUUUUCGCCUAAGGAUGGGUCUGCGGCCGAUUAGGUAGUUGGUUAGGUAAUGGCUUACCAAGCCGUUGAUCGGUACGGGUUGUGAGAGCAAGAGCCCGGAGAUGGAACCUGAGACAAGGUUCCAGGCCCUACGGGGUGCAGCAGGCGCGAAACCUCCGCAAUGUGAGAAAUCGCGCCGGGGGGAUCCCAAGUGCCAUUCUUAACGGGAUGGCUUUUCAUUAGUGUAAAGAGCUUUUGGAAUAAGAGCUGGGCAAGACCGGUGCCAGCCGCCGCGGUAACACCGGCAGCUCUAGUGGUAACAAUUUUUAUUGGGCCUAAAGCGUCCGUAGCCGGUUUAAUAAGUCUCUGGUGAAAUCCUGUAGCUUAACUGUGGGAAUUGCUGGAGAUACUAUUAGACUUGAGACCGGGAGAGGUUAGAGGUACUCCCAGGGUAGAGGUGAAAUUCUGUAAUCCUGGGAGGACCGCCUGUUGCGAAGGCGUCUAACUGGAACGGUUCUGACGGUGAAGGACGAAAGUUAGGGGCGCGAACCGGAUUAGAUACCCGGGUAGUCCUAACUGUAAACGAUGCGGACUUGGUGUUGGGGUGGCUUUGAGCUGCUCCAGUGCCGAAGGAAAGCUGUUAAGUCCGCCGCCUGGGAAGUACAGUCGCAAGACUGAAACUUAA